UAAAUGAUAUAGAAAAGUGCACAAGAGAGCUGAGAGUUUAUAGACUGAACCGAGAGCUCCCAGAGAUGGAUUUGGUGACUUGUUUAUUUUCACAGUGUACCGAGGAUGAACUUGGAUUGUUAGUAGCGGGCUUAGGUGGAAGAGUUGGUGUUGAGGAUUUAAAUUAUUUUAUUUAGAGAUUUUUAUGUAUUUAUUUGAGGAAAUUGAUUUAGUAUCAAUUUAAUUAAUUUGAGAUGUCUUAUUUAUAUGAGGAAAUUUGAUUGAUUUUGUAUCAAUAAAGGGUAUUUUAUUUCUUUUGAGAUCCUGGUGUCUUUUAUGAAGUAUUUUGAUUUAAUGAAAUCGAGACUUUUAUUUAGAGAAAAUUCGGGGCGUUACAUAGUUCUAAGUGACAAACAAACCAAAAAACUCUACACCUCUUUCAUCAAACAAAGUGAUUUUAGCGACCUUGGUUGCCAUAAACUUGUAGUCCUUGUGGAUUGAUUUACCCCUAUGAUAGCCCUAUUUUACAAUGAUUUGUGCUAUUGCAAGGGUUUAUUAAUUUUAGUAGACGUUUGUCGACCGACCAAUUUUUGGCGCCGUUGCUUGGGAUUGCAAACGGUUUUGUAACCAAGGUUCAAAGAUUAACUUUAGUUUCAUUGUGAAUAUUGUGUUCUUGUGGAUAUUUUCUUGUUUGGUUUUGGUAAUAUUAUGUUUUAAGUAUUCUUGUGAGAUUCUAGGAAUAUGAGGCUUGCCGAGGGAAAACUGAAAAUAUCGUAAGUCUAGAGGACUCCAGGUUUUUAAAUUCAAGUUUGGGGGGGUGCUCUUGGAAUUCACAUGGUGGCAUAUUUUACACCGCCACCAAUUCUCCUCCUCUCCUUGGUAUUAUUGUUCUUUGUACCCUCUUUAUUUUUUCAUUUCCCUUUCCAUCAUUUGUCUUCUCACAUUGAGGGCAAUGUGACAUUCAUGUUUGGGGGUACAUUUUGGUUUUGCAUGUUUCCAUUUUUGGUAUUACAUUUUUGUCUGCAUGUGGUAACUUGUUCAUAUAAGUUAAUAAAGUUAAUUUUUGGGAAGCAAUGAUCUUGUAAUCUUGGAACUUGUUGGAGAUUGAGGCACGUGUUUAAAACUUUGUGUAGAGAGGCUAAUGAUAGUUUUUUUUUUUUUUUUGAAAUAAGGAGCAUCUAAAAAAAAAAAAAAAAUCUAAAAUGAUCAUGUGGAUUCAAAUUGGUUUAUAUAAAUGCUUUAAUUAGAUUUUCGUCGGAUUUCAUACUCUUCUAUGCUUCACACUUCACAGAUGCACACCGAAAACUUAAUUGUGAGGCAUGUAACCUGAUUUACCUUGACAAUGACUCAGUUGAUUUAAAAUGAUGACUCCUAAUGAAUGGAUAUCUUUGGCAUUGAUCUAAAAAAAAAAAAAAAAAAAAAAGAAGGAAAAUGACUAGUUUAAGUUCGUAGCCUUGCUAACUCAAGUUAUUAAGCUUUUGGAGUGUCCUUACACUUAGCACCCUAAAGCCAUCCGGUUUGGGAGUUGCUGGCCUAACACUUGCUACAUGGGUUAGUCAGAAAGCUUAAGGGACUUAGGCAUUGCACGAUUAUUCACGAAAUAAAAAUAAAUAAAUAUGGUUCGUUGGAGUUCGUAGCCUUGCCAACUCGAGUUAUUAAGCCCUUGGAGUGUCCUUACACUUAGCACCCUAAAGCCAUCCAGUUUAGGAGUUGUUGGUCUAACACUUGCUACAUGGGUUGGUUAGAAAGCUUUAGGGACUUCGGCAUUGCAUGACCAUAAUAUGUAUCUAAAAAAAAAUGUGUAUUUUGAAUAAAUCAUGCCUUAGAGACCUCAUUUAAAAGGGAAAUUCAAUUAUUUAAAGACUUGUGUUCUUGAAAUGGGAAAAAGAAGGUAAAAGCCACAUAUUGGGAAUUUGGUUCACUUUUAUUGAAGUUAGAGUUGAUUUCUUUUAUAAAUAUGACAAUUGAAGUAUUUAUAUAGACUAUGAUGUUGAUACAUGAGAAUUGAAGUAUGUUUAGCCAUUGUGUUAUAUCAAGGCUUCAUAUACGCAAAGUAGUCUGCAAAAUGAUUCCGUCUCCAAUGUUUUAUCUGUUCUAAGUUACAAUUGAGUUGUGUACAUUUUCUUGCAUCAUGUUUGAUAUUUUUGGGUCACAAUUCAAUUUUUAUCAUUUUGAUAAGUACUUUAUUUUGGUUUUGCUAUGGGACUAGCAAAAUGUAAGUUUAGGGGUGUGAUAAGCGCCAAAUAUUGCAUAUUCAAGUGCCCUCAUUUACAUUAGUUAAGUCCAUUAGUUGAUCCUACUGUAUAGAUUAUCUUCAUUUGCAUGAUUUUGUUUUCUUUCAGGUUGUUUCCCCAAAUAGAUAUAAAAGUGAAGCUUUGUGAGUUCUUGAAGAUCAAAUCAUGCCGGGUCGGGGAUUUGUUAAUUUUUCCAAGCUAAUAUAUACCAUUGAACUCAUGGCACUUUCUGCAAAGCCUAAGAAGGAUGAUUGCAUCUUUAGGUCAAGCCAAAGCUAAUUCAGUAGAGAAGUGAGCAUGGCAGCACCAUGGUGGGCACCCACUAUCCAUAUGCAAAUCCUACGGGUGCUCGAGGGUAGAGACUUCGAAGUUUGGCGAGGCCCCGCCAUUUGCCAUCUUGACACCCCACGGCAGCCCCCUUGACACCUCGCGGGCGCCCGCCCUGCGAUACGGGCGCCCGGCAAUUUGCAGACAACAAAGCAUGGGCUGCAUUAUUUCACCCAAUGCUGCCCCUUGACCCAAUGGAUGGCUCUGCACUCUUCUAGGGAUUUCUAGCCACAAAAUUAAUUAAUUUUGGGAGGAUUUUUGGCUCAUAAAAAGGCCUUGUAUGUUUGUAAAGAGAUAUCUCACUUUGUAAGGUUUUUAGAGAGAGAAAUAUUGUUCUUGAGAGUUUAUGAGUUAUUCUUGACUGCUAAGUGCGAAAAUGAAGGGGAGGAUCUUAUCCACACCUUGUUCCUUUGCAUCUAUGGGUAACUAACUCCCUUUCUAGGGAGGUGAUGAAGCCCUUCUUUGUAAGCAUGCUCUAGUUUUGAUUUUAAUUUGGGGAAUGAAGUGUGUAUAUGGUAUUUCAUAAUCUAGAGCACUUUACAUGUUGUAUUAGAUAUUAAUGUCUAUAAAUGAUCAUUUUGAGUUGAUUAUUUUA